UGGGUAAUAUUGGACAAUGGGCGCAAGCCUGAUCCAGCCAUGCCGCGUGUGUGAAGAAGGCCUUUUGGUUGUAAAGCACUUUAAGCGAGGAGGAGGCUACUUGGAUUAAUACUCUAAGAUAGUGGACGUUACUCGCAGAAUAAGCACCGGCUAACUCUGUGCCAGCAGCCGCGGUAAUACAGAGGGUGCGAGCGUUAAUCGGAUUUACUGGGCGUAAAGCGUGCGUAGGCGGCUUCUUAAGUCGGAUGUGAAAUCCCUGAGCUUAACUUAGGAAUUGCAUUCGAUACUGGGAAGCUAGAGUAUGGGAGAGGAUGGUAGAAUUCCAGGUGUAGCGGUGAAAUGCGUAGAGAUCUGGAGGAAUACCGAUGGCGAAGGCAGCCAUCUGGCCUAAUACUGACGCUGAGGUACGAAAGCAUGGGGAGCAAACAGG
rnacentral:rRNA from 1 species